CCAGCUGUUCAAACACAUGAGCCUAGAGGAGACAUUCAAGACACAGUGGACCCCAUAUAGUAGUAUUGGAGAGAAUUCAAGCCACGAUGGAUUAUGUAAACUGGUUACUUUGAGAAACUAUGACACAGCAUCACCUUUCGUAAGGGGACUUUUAUAUACAAUGUAAAGUUACUUGAAGGAGCACUGGAAAGAUCCUCCUGUCUUGUUCCUGACAUCUUCCGGGUUACCAGGCUCUACCUUUUCUUCAGCUGAGAGGAGGAAGUGCGAAGAGCAUAGAGAAAACAAGUUAGCGAGAAAUCCCUUGGAGUUGGUCUACUUGUGAAAGCGGCUUAUUUAAUUCAUGUUGCUGCAACAAGGAAAUGCACGGACGUAUGCGUAUCAUGUAAGAAUGUUUCUUCAAGCAAAUAGAAAUGAAUAAUUAAAGUGAAUGUAUUUACUGUGGCAAGACUUCCGUUUGGCAGAAAACCAGCAAACCAAUUUCACAGCAGAAAGAUGGCGAUCUCCCCCUCCCCAGAGAACGUGCUGCUUAAACAGAAGAGAUGCAAUUAGAGUUAUACCUGCUUUGCAACUCAUGAAUAGACUUUAAGAUGAUCUCAGUCAAGCCUCAGACUCACAGCAACCCACCUGCUUCACCAUCCUCCGUGCUGGGACUAUAGGUGUGAGCUACCAGACCCUAAUCAACACUGCCUUAAAUGAACUGGCAAGCGCCACUCUUCUUGCACACUGUUAAGUGAAUAGGUGACUUGAACGGAACAGUGACAAGUGGGACACUUAGUGUGACAACCAAGACAGGUCCUCAGUGACUAAAGAGCAGCUGAUAUAGACACACUGGACAAGGGGAAGCUCAGAUCCUGGGUGGAAAGAGUCAUGGCAUAUGAUGUCAUUCGACGUCACCAUGCAACUUUAGAACGGCAGCCGUUUACAGCUGCUGACAACGUUUCCUGAUGUUAAUGGGUCUGAGUGCUCACCACUGCAAUGUUUUUCUCCAAUGCUCCAAUCAGGAUCAGAACUGCUUACCACUGAUCUCUGCUUCUCAGGUACCCUGAACAAAGACGACAUGGCACUUAUCUCUCUGGCUGAGAAUAAACAUUCAGCUGCAGAAUCAAA